rnacentral:tRNA from 1 species
UGGGGCGUAGGCGAAUUGGUAAAGCCACCAGACUUUGACUCUGGAGUUUGGAGGUUCGAUGCCUCCCGCCCCAG